UGCAGGAGAGGAAGUGCGCCUGGGUUUUCAAAAUAAAAGCCCGAGUGAUCCAAGCAGGACGGCGUGACCUCAACAUGACAUCAGUAGAGAUGGACCUUCCUUCAGGAAAUGGCGCUCAUCUCACUUGUUGUCCUGGACAGGAAGUGAAAAGACGCUAAUGAAAGAUCCCCUUGCUGUCCCCUCUGAUUGGGAGUCCACUGCUGGCCAGAGACCUGACCGAGUCUGAUGUGGUGACCCCGUUUCUUUCCACUGAAGAUGUCACCGAGAGUGUUGUCCACACACUUUGCAACUCUACCAGACAAACUGCCUAAGAAGUUGGACGUCAAAGUGGACCAACUUGUGGGUUUAUGUCCACAACCUUCUACUAUCCAG